rnacentral:rRNA from 1 species
GUGAAAUUUUUAAUUUAAAAUAAAUUCUUUUAAUGAUUUGUUGGGGGCUAAAAAGUUUAGGCAAAAAACCAGGAUUAGAUACCCUGCUAUUCUAAAUAAUAAGUUAAAUAGGGUAGUAAAAGUUGUUCUUCAAACCCAAAGAUUUUGGCGGCAUCUUAUCCUAAUAGAGGAGCUUGCCCUAUAAUUGAUAAUCCUCAUUUUAUCUUACCUCUUUUUGUUUAGUUUGUAUACCGCCGUUGUCAGAUUACUUUAAAAGAAUGUUUUCAAGAAAAGUAUUUUUUUUUACUUCAGGUCAAGGUGCAGUUUAUGGAGAGGUAGAGGUGAGCUACAAUUUAUAUUAAAAAAAACGGAUCUUGGGUUUAAAAACCGGGGAAGGUGGAUUUAUCAGUAAACUUAUUUAAGUAUAAUAAGUUGAAUCGGGCAAUAGGAUGUGCACAUAUCGCCCGUCACUCUCUUCU